UACGUAGGGACCUAGCGUUGUCCGGAAUCAUUGGGCGUAAAGCGCGCGUAGGUGGCCUCAUAAGUCCGCUGUGAAAGUCAAAGGCUCAACCUUUGAAAGCCGGUGGAUACUGUGAGGCUAGAGUACGGAAGAGGCGAGUGGAAUUCCUGGUGUAGCGGUGGAAUGCGCAGAUAUCAGGAGGAACACCAAUAGCGAAGGCAGCUCGCUGGGACGUUACUGACACUGAGGCGCGAAAGCGUGGGGAGCGAACAGG
rnacentral:rRNA from 1 species